ACUUGAAAUCUCCGAUGCUUGCGUCGGCGAGUUGUAGUUGCGAGAAGCACUUUCUCGGCGGAUCGGUGGCGCCCAAGUUGCUUGGAACAGUACGUCGCAGAGGGUGACAACCCCGUCCGUGGCGUCGCCGGCCGCUCACGAUGUGCUUUCGAAGAGUCGGGUUGUUUGGGAAUGCAGCCCAAAACGGGUGGUAAACUCCAUCUAAAGCUAAAUAUUGACGUGAGACCGAUAGCGAACAAGUACCGUGAGGGAAAGAUGAAAAGAACUUUGAAAAGAGAGUUAAAAAGUACGUGAAACCGUUGGAAGGGAAACGAAUGGACUCAGCAAUGCGCCGUCUUUGAGAUUCAGCCGCGCGGGUCGGCUCGGCCCGGGACUUGCGGAUCCGAACGGACCGCGGUUCUGGGCUCGUUUCGGCCCGCCGUCGCACUUCUCUUGGGCGCAAGUCAACGUCGGUUGGGUCUGGGUCUGAAAGGUUCCGGGAAGGUGAGUCGGGGCUUCGUUUCCUCUUCGGGGGUGGCGUCGCUCCGUCCGUUACAGCCUGGUUCUCUGUCUGGCUCGGACUCGACCGAGGUGGUCGCAGCGCAUGCCUCUUUUGGCUAGGGUCCCGUCUCCUCCGGCCGGUCUUUCGACUGCGGUGGACUGCUUGCAGUGCUCCGCGACAGCUGCCGGUCGUUGGGGCGGUGAUCUCCUACCAUGCGCUCGGGACGUUGGCGGUCAUAUGGGUCCAUCCGACCCGUCUUGAAACACGGACCAAGGAGUCUAACAUGUGCGCGAGUCUUAGGGUGCUCGAAACCCCGAGGCGGAAUGAAAGUGAAAGCGGCUUCGGCCGCCGAGGCGAGAUCCCGUCGCCGUUCGCGGUGUGCGGGCGCAUCAUCGACCGACCUAUUCUAC
rnacentral:rRNA from 1 species